rnacentral:rRNA from 1 species
GCCCGUGGAGCCUGCUUACCAUGCAAGUCGAACGGAAAGGCCCUUCGGGGUACUCGAGUGGCGAACGGGUGAGUAACACGUGGGUGAUCUGCCCUGCACUUUGGGAUAAGCCUGGGAAACUGGGUCUAAUACCGAAUAGGACUCCGGACUGCAUGGUCUGGGGUGGAAAGCUUUUGCGGUGUGGGAUGGGCCCGCGGCCUAUCAGCUUGUUGGUGGGGUGAUGGCCUACCAAGGCGACGACGGGUAGCCGGCCUGAGAGGGUGUCCGGCCACACUGGGACUGAGAUACGGCCCAGACUCCUACGGGAGGCAGCAGUGGGGAAUAUUGCACAAUGGGCGCAAGCCUGAUGCAGCGACGCCGCGUGGGGGAUGACGGCCUUCGGGUUGUAAACCUCUUUCGCUAGGGACGAAGCGCAAGUGACGGUACCUAGAGAAGAAGCACCGGCCAACUACGUGCCAGCAGCCGCGGUAAUACGUAGGGUGCGAGCGUUGUCCGGAAUUACUGGGCGUAAAGAGCUCGUAGGUGGUUUGUCGCGUUGUUCGUGAAAACUCACAGCUUAACUGUGGGCGUGCGGGCGAUACGGGCAGACUGGAGUACUGCAGGGGAGACUGGAAUUCCUGGUGUAGCGGUGGAAUGCGCAGAUAUCAGGAGGAACACCGGUGGCGAAGGCGGGUCUCUGGGCAGUAACUGACGCUGAGGAGCGAAAGCGUGGGGAGCGAACAGGAUUAGAUACCCUGGUAGUCCACGCCGUAAACGGUGGGUACUAGGUGUGGGUUUCCUUCCUUGGGAUCCGUGCCGUAGCUAACGCAUUAAGUACCCCGCCUGGGGAGUACGGCCGCAAGGCUAAAACUCAAAGGAAUUGACGGGGGCCCGCACAAGCGGCGGAGCAUGUGGAUUAAUUCGAUGCAACGCGAAGAACCUUACCUGGGUUUGACAUGCACAGGACGCCAGUAGAGAUAUUGGUUCCCUUGUGGCCUGUGUGCAGKKGGUGCAUGGCUGUCGUCAGCUCGUGUCGUGAGAUGUUGGGUUAAGUCCCGCAACGAGCGCAACCCUUGUCUCAUGUUGCCAGCACGUUAUGGUGGGGACUCGUGAGAGACUGCCGGGGUCAACUCGGAGGAAGGUGGGGAUGACGUCAAGUCAUCAUGCCCCUUAUGUCCAGGGCUUCACACAUGCUACAAUGGCCGGUACAGAGGGCUGCGAUGCCGUGAGGUGGAGCGAAUCCUUGAAAGCCGGUCUCAGUUCGGAUCGGGGUCUGCAACUCGACCCCGUGAAGUCGGAGUCGCUAGUAAUCGCAGAUCAGCAACGCUGCGGUGAAUACGUUCCCGGGCCUUGUACACACCGCCCGUCACGUCAUGAAAGUCGGUAACACCUGAAGCCGGUGCCUAACCCUUGGGACGGAGCCGUUGUAGAGGGUCCCCC